GGGAACCUUCUUUGCUUCAGUGUAAGAAAUGAUGAAAGCGUCGAACUUGUCGGUGGGAAGGUGGAGAUUGGUGGCCUGAAGUUUUCCAGAAGGCUGGACCGUUAUCAUAGUUUUGUUGACGGCCACUCAAAAGUUCUGUUCCAGUAGGCUGCCACAUGCCAAUUGUGUGUUCAGGUUAUGUUCUGGCUCCGGCGGUGUUUCUGUUGAGGUGCUGGUUGUGGCCUCCAAUGCAGCGAGAUGGUGGUCUCGGCUGGCCACAUGCUUUGGCUACUUCCUUGGCUCUUACCGUGCCGCAACCCAGUGGUGUUAUGUUUGUCCUCGGCUACUACUCUAUGGUGAGCUCCUCGGUUCCUCCCUCAGUUCUCUGCCCCUCAAGCCGAUGACCUAUGGUUUGUUUCUGAAGUAGAAGUUUGAGGCUUUGGCUGAGAAGAACACCUAGUUGGAGUAGCAUAUGACUACACAAUCCACUUCUAUCCUGUCUCAAGGU